GGAAAGGCGCGCGAUACAGGGUGACAGCCCCGUACACAAAAAUGCACAUGCUGUGAGCUCGAUGAGUAGGGCGGGACACGUGGUAUCCUGUCUGAAUAUGGGGGGACCAUCCUCCAAGGCUAAAUACUCCUGACUGACCGAUAGUGAACCAGUACCGUGAGGGAAAGGCGAAAAGAACCCCGGCGAGGGGAGUGAAAAAGAACCUGAAACCGUGUACGUACAAGCAGUGGGAGCACGCUUAGGCGUGUGACUGCGUACCUUUUGUAUAAUGGGUCAGCGACUUAUAUUCUGUAGCAAGGUUAACCGAAUAGGGGAGCCGAAGGGAAACCGAGUCUUAACUGGGCGUUAAGUUGCAGGGUAUAGACCCGAAACCCGGUGAUCUAGCCAUGGGCAGGUUGAAGGUUGGGUAACACUAACUGGAGGACCGAACCGACUAAUGUUGAAAAAUUAGCGGAUGACUUGUGGCUGGGGGUGAAAGGCCAAUCAAACCGGGAGAUAGCUGGUUCUCCCCGAAAGCUAUUUAGGUAGCGCCUCGUGAAUUCAUCUCCGGGGGUAGAGCACUGUUUCGGCAAGGGGGUCAUCCCGACUUACCAACCCGAUGCAAACUGCGAAUACCGGAGAAUGUUAUCACGGGAGACACACGGCGGGUGCUAACGUCCGUCGUGAAGAGGGAAACAACCCAGACCGCCAGCUAAGGUCCCAAAGUCAUGGUUAAGU
rnacentral:rRNA from 1 species